UAUUUUUAAUUCUACUUGAUGAGUAGGUAAUAUAUUUUUCAAAAUUUGUGCACCUUCUUAUAUGUCUUUUAUAUGUUGUAAAAUUUGAUUUUAAAUAACAAUUAAUCAUGAAAUACUAGGUGCGGUGCGAGUAAAAUGCUAUAUUCUGGCCGAGCAUUCCUAGCGCAAAUAGCAAAGAGCUUGAUGGCUGAUAUUCGAGAUUUUAAAUUUGCAGUUUAGUUGCUUCAUAUUUUCCGCCAAGUUUAUUUCUAGAAAAAACAAGUGAAGCAAAUAGUGUGCUACAUUUCUCUCUCUCUCUCUCUCUUUCUCUCUCUCUCAC
rnacentral:lncRNA from 1 species